GCCUCCGUGGAUGAGCGGUUAAUCCCCUCAACUUUAUAUGGAAAUCAGCCGGAUUUUACAUGAGGAGACGCGGGUCCGAAUCCCGCCGGAGGCA